rnacentral:rRNA from 1 species
UACGUAGGGGGCAAGCGUUGUCCGGAUUUAUUGGGCGUAAAGAGCUCGUAGGCGGUUUGGUAAGUCAGGUGUGAAAUCUCCACGCUCAACGUGGAGGGGCCACCUGAUACUGCCAUGACUGGAGUCCGGUAGAGGAGUGUGGAAUUCCCGGUGUAGCGGUGAAAUGCGCAGAUAUCGGGAGGAACACCCGUAGCGAAGGCGGCCACUCUGGGCCGGUACUGGACGCUGAGGAGC